rnacentral:rRNA from 1 species
CUCCACGAAGUUGGAUUCGCUAGUAAUCGCGCAUCAGCCAUGGCGCGGUGAAUACGUUCCCGGGCCUUGUACACACCGCCCGUCAAGCCAUGGGAGCCGGGGGCGCCUGAAGUCCGGGACCGCGAGGACCGGCCUAGGGCGAAACUGGUGACUGGGGCUAAGUCGUAACAAGGUACC